UAGGGAAUCUUCCACAAUGGACGCAAGUCUGAUGGAGCAACGCCGCGUGAGUGAAGAAGGCUUUCGGGUCGUAAAACUCUGUUAUUGAAGAAGAACGUGUGUGACAGUAACUGGUCAUGCAGUGACGGUAUUCAAUCAGAAANUCACGGCUAACUACGUGCCAGCAGCCGCGGUAAUACGUAGGUGGCAAGCGUUGUCCGGAUUUAUUGGGCGUAAAGCGAGUGCAGGCGGUCUUUUAAGUCUGAUGUGAAAGCCUUCGGCUUAA
rnacentral:rRNA from 1 species